rnacentral:rRNA from 1 species
UACGAAGGGGGCUAGCGUUGUUCGGAUUUACUGGGCGUAAAGCGCACGUAGGCGGAUCGUUAAGUCGGGGGUGAAAUCCUGGAGCUCAACUCCAGAACUGCCUUCGAUACUGGCGAUCUUGAGUCCGGAAGAGGUGAGUGGAAUUCCUAGUGUAGAGGUGGAAUUCGUAGAUAUUCGCAAGAACACCAGUGGCGAAGGCGGCUCACUGGCCCGGUACUGACGCUGAGGCACGAAAGCGUGGGGAGCAAACAGG